rnacentral:tRNA from 1 species
AAGGCCUUAGCUUAAAUUAAAGUGUCUGGGUUGCAUUCAGAAGAUGUUGAUUGAUGUUCUGCAGGUCUUA